rnacentral:rRNA from 1 species
GACGUACAUAAAUUUUUUUUAUUCGUUUAUCUUAAUGCCAAAAUCUAUUAGAUGCGACCAUAUCGUGUGGUUCCGUGUCUAUAAAUUUUUCAUGAUUUGACCUCAAAUCANGUAGGAACACCCGCUGAACUUAAGCAUAUCAAUAAGCGGAGGAAAAGAAAAUAACAAUGAUUCCCCUAGUAACUGCGAGUGAAGAGGGACAAGCUCAAAUUUUAAAUCUAUCGGGUUUUACCUGAUCGAGUUGUAAUUUGAAGAAGCGUUUUCUGCGUAUUUGGUCAGCCUAAGUACUAUUGAAUGAGGCAUCAUGGAGGGUGAUAAUCCCGUCCGGUUGAUCAUUUGCGUUUUACGAUACGCUUUCUAAGAGUCAAGUUGUUUGGGAUUGCAGCUUAAAAUGGGAGGUAAAUUUCUCCUAAGGCUAAAUAACGGCGAGAGACCGAUAGCGAACAAGUACCGUGAGGGAAAGAUGAAAAGAACUUUGAAAAGAGAGUUAAACAGUACGUGAAAUUGUUGAAAGGGAAACGAUUGAAGCCAGUCGUACCUUCGGGUAAUCAGCCUUUCGGGUGCGAUUCUGUGGAGUGUGAGGAGCUUAAACACCUUCAUGUUUUGCAUAUUCGUACUCUUGGGUGUACUUGCCCGUGUGGUUGGUUAACAUCAAUUUUGGUGGUCAUAAAAUGACUGGGGGAAUGUAGCUUCGAUCUUGUAUUGAAGUGUUAUAGCCUUCGGUAGAUGUGAUGAUCGAGAUUGAGGAUUGCAACGGAUACCCUUCGGGGCUACCUGUCUGGUCUCUGAUCGUUGCUCUGGUGCCGAAAGCUUG